rnacentral:misc_RNA from 1 species
GAAAUGCGAUAAGCAAUGCGAAUUGCAGAACCGUGAGUCAUCAGAUUUUUGAACGCAACUGGCGCCGGCUGGCUCUCCAGCCGGCAUGCUUGUUUCAGUGUCUUUUUUUCUCCUCACCCAAAUCCUAAUGCGAGAGAUACCCUUCUCUUGCCAAGCAGGAAAGCACUCUGCGCUCUGCGAGCGACUUCGGCUUGUUCGAUGGUCGCACUCAAUGCAGCAGUCACAUUGUUCACAGUGUGAACUCAUUGAGAGCCGAGGCAGUGCAGCAUCCGCUGCCAGUGCUUAGCCAACCAAACUUUCUUUGCAUCUGAAAUCAAGCAGGACCACCCGCUGAACUUAA